UACGUAGGGGGCAAGCGUUGUCCGGAAUUAUUGGGCGUAAAGAGCGUGUAGGCGGUCCGGUAAGUCAGCUGUGAAAGUCAAGGGCUCAACCCUUGAAUGCCGGUUGAUACUGUCGGGCUAGAGUCCGGAAGAGGCGAGUGGAGUUCCCGGUGUAGCGGUGAAAUGCGCAGAUAUCGGGAGGAACACCGGUGGCGAAGGCGGCGACCUGGGUCGAGACUGACGCUGAGGUGCGAAAGCGUGGGGAGCAAACAGG
rnacentral:rRNA from 1 species